rnacentral:rRNA from 1 species
GACAGAGGUCCCGAGCGUUAGGCGGAAUCACUGGGCUUAAAGCGUGUGUAGGCGGAGUUCUAAGUACCUUGUGAAAUCCCACGGCUCAACCGUGGAACUGCUUGGUAUACUGGUUCUCUUGAGCCACCUAGGGGCAACCGGAACAAACGGUGGAGCGGUGAAAUGCGUAGAUAUCUGGAGGAAUACCGGUGGCGAAGGCGGCAUCCUGGACCGGCAUUGACGCUGAGUGAGCGAAAGCCAGGGGAGCAAACGGG